rnacentral:rRNA from 1 species
GACGAACGCUGGCGGCGUGCCUAAUACAUGCUAGUCGAACGAAGCUGUUUUAACUGGUGCUUGCACCGACUUAAACAACUGAGUGGCGAACGGAUGAGUAACACGUGGGUAACCUGCCCCAAAGCGGGGGAUAACAUUUGGAAACAGAUGCUAAUACCGCAUAACCACAGAAACCACAUGGUUUCUGUGUCAAAGAUGGGUUCGGCCAUCACUUUGGGACGGACCCGCGGCGUAUUAGCUAGUUGGUAAGGUAAUGGCUUACCAAGGCAAUGAUACGUAGCCGAACUGAGAGGUUGAUCGGCCACAUUGGGACUGAGACACGGCCCAAACUCCUACGGGAGGCAGCAGUAGGGAAUCUUCCACAAUGGACGAAAGUCUGAUGGAGCAACGCCGCGUGAGUGAAGAAGGUUUUCGGAUCGUAAAACUCUGUUGUCAGAGAAGAACGUGUGCGAGAGUAACUGCUCGUGCAGUGACGGUAUCUGGCCAGAAAGCCACGGCUAACUACGUGCCAGCCGCCGCGGUAA